GUGAAACUGCGAAUGGCUCAUUAAAUCAGUUAUCGUUUAUUUGAUAGUACCUUACUACUUGGAUAACCGUGGUAAUUCUAGAGCUAAUACAUGCUAAAAAUCCCGACUUUUUGGAAGGGAUGUAUUUAUUAGAUAAAAGACCAAUGCUUCUUCGGAAGUUCUUUGGUGAUUCAUGAUAACUUUUCGAAUCGCAUGGCCUCGAGCCGGCGAUGGUUCAUUCAAAUUUCUGCCCUAUCAACUUUCGAUGGUAGGAUAGUGGCCUACCAUGGUUUCAACGGGUAACGGGGAAUUAGGGUUCGAUUCCGGAGAGGGAGCCUGAGAAACGGCUACCACAUCCAAGGAAGGCAGCAGGCACGCAAAUUACCCAAUCCCGACACGGGGAGGUAGUGACAAUAAAUAACAAUACAGGGCUUUUUAUGGUCUUGUGAUUGGAAUGAGUACAAUUUAAAUACCUUAACGAGGAACAAUUGGAGGGCAAGUCUGGUGCCAGCAGCCGCGGUAAUUCCAGCUCCAAUAGCGUAUAUUAAAGUUGUUGCAGUUAAAAAGCUCGUAGUUGAACUUUGGGCUUGGUCGGCCGGUCCGCCUCAUUGGUGUGCACUGACCCGACCGAGCCUUUCCUUCUGGAUAACUAUAGUGCUUUUUAUUAAGUGCUAUAGGGAGCCAGGACUUUUACUUUGAAAAAAUUAGAGUGUUCAAAGCAGGCAUACGCUCGAAUAUAUUAGCAUGGAAUAAUAGAAUAGGACGUACGGUUCUAUUUUGUUGGUUCUCUAGGACCGUCGUAAUGAUUAAUAGGGACAGUCGGGGGCAUCAGUAUUCAAUUGUCAGAGGUGAAAUUCUUGGAUUUAUUGAAGACUAACUACUGCGAAAGCAUUUGCCAAGGAUGUUUUCAUUAAUCAAGAACGAAAGUUAGGGGAUCGAAGACGAUCAGAUACCGUCGUAGUCUUAACCAUAAACUAUGCCGACU
rnacentral:rRNA from 1 species